UGCGACGCAUAUCUUUUUUGUCGAGGCCGAUUUUGAGCAUGAGCAUGAGCAUGAGCAUGAGCAUGAGAGACCACCAAUGGUUGUCCUUCUCCGUUGCUGAACAGGACCGGGGAUGGGACGGGAAUGUUAGUUAGCACAGGCUGCUACCAAUGGUGGGUUCUAUACGAUAUCCACACCCCCGCGUGUGCCGGAAAACUACUUCUACUUGGGAUUAUGUUAGUAGGGAAGGGUAAUGGUCAGGAUUCAUCAUAGAAGAUGAUGAUGUGACCCAAAUAGUCGAUAAGUUUUGUUUAAUGGAGUGAUGUAUUAUUCCCAAGGCAAGCAAUCGGAUGCUGCUGUUGAGACUAUUCCCGUUUAUUUGUGAUUUAUUUAGGAUUAGAUGGAUUAUCUUUGACAGCCGGCUGUGGAAAGAUAAAACCACAAAGAAUGUAUUUAACAGGUAAGAUUUUAAACUCUACGUAAAGUGUUUAGUUCGAGUGGAUCAUAGACGAUUUCAGCUUUUGAAUAGUUAUAAGAAUAGCGACCGAUAACUGAUGAGUUACGAAGCUCCGAGCUAUAAUGCUGAGAGUUUUUUCACGCGUUCACGGGAAACGUCUUUUCGAAUUUAAAAAUUUAUACCUCGCGCACCUGCAAAACACAUAUUUUCAGGUUGUAGAAAUAAUACAAGGAAAAACUGCUAUAACAUUUAUCAAACACGGCGACGAACGCGCAAAACAAAACUGACCCGACGAGUUGCUCGGACUUAAUUUCUUUAUUUAUUUAUGAACAUUAAUAUAAAAAUCACUCACGCGACUACCGAAAAACGCUACCCGUUUGUUUUUAUAUCAGCAGUAAGCUAACCUGAAACCAAAUAUUUCAUUAGUAAUUUUUAUACUCUAUCAUUCUUUCAUUCACUCAACCAAUCACACAAAAAACUAAUUAAUUUAAAUAACUGUUUUAGGCACACAAACAGCGAUAGUAAGAAAUAAAACAUAUGCUUGAAUAUCAAUUCAUUUUAGCUAUUGAUGCAUUUUAGCGCCAAAGAAUAGCAAAAUAAAAGAAACGUAAAAAGGUUCAUCUUUUAGUUAAUCGUAAAAAAAAAAAAUGUUGUAAAAAUAAAAAUUAGACAAUCCGGCAACCCUGAACUUUAAAAUCACAUGCACACACGCAUACAUGCUUUGGCACCAGCCCGGGAGCAUGUUGACAGCUCCCAUACAAACUGAGCGUACCCCGUUUUGUGGGCCCAGUGGGCCUAAGAUGGCGGCCUUCGAUAUUAUCUAGCCAAACCUUUUAAAAUGGUGAAUAGUUUAAAUAAAUAUAGUGUUUGCCUUGUUUGGUUUAAAACGACAAAAUAAGCAUUCUGGAAUCAUUUUCUUUAAAAACUUGUUUAGAGAUGCGCCACGUUCAAAUAUUAGUCUAGAACAGUUGAAGUGAGCGUACCGCAAAAGCCGUCACGAAAACAAAGUUUCCUUUGCAAAUUUUGAGUUGCGUAUUUGUUUGGCGGACUCCGACGAGGCCCACUUGCCAUCUGUCGGUGAAUACGCGCAACUCACGAAAACUGUCAUCUUAGGGUCCGGUUGUUUGGCACACUCUCGCUCUGGAUUCCUAUUGGAAUUUCCUCACCAGUUUCUGCCGCUGCCUCCGCCGACAACUCAACACCAGUCCCAAGGCACGACCAAAGAAUUUGUCACAAAACCUCGCCUCGGCUUCAUGUGUGCUGCGUGUCUCCUUCGCCCUUUUCCUUUCGUCCAGAGUCCCGUUACCGCAUUCACAUUACAGCGCACUUACACCACAACGCAGCCCGCGCUACAACAUACGCUGUAACCUCGUGUCAUCGCUGAACAACGCACGCAUACAGACAACCAAACUCGUUCCUUUUUCUUUUCGACGACACUAAUACACAAGCACACACCGAACCGACGCCGCGCAAACCAUCAACAUGGAUUGGAAAAAUCUAGGAAAAAAAAAAUGAAUUUAACGGGAAUCGAACACAAAACCAUCAAAAACUCGACCGCAAAACCAAUCCCAGCACAAACAUGGGCCGAAUCACACAAAACAUGGAAUAAACACUUCCCAAAACAGCAAAAAAACACAAAAAAACCGCACACGCGAAGCACAACGAUCCGCACUCGGUGACAGCACAAACCGAACUCUUUUUCUCAUAGCUUUUGCAAAUUACUGUUAAAAAUGGAUAUUUUUAAAACCUUAAUAUCUUUUUGCAACAGCCUACAACACGCAUACUCCAGUAGGUCAAAAGUAAGGGAAUUUCAUGGACUAUAAGCCUACAGUAUUAACUUUUUGGCCAAUUGCAGUAUUUCUCAAUUUUUCUAUAACAAAUAUCUUACAACGUUAGUUUUUGCCCUGUAGGCCUCUAUAGCGGCCCUUUUUGGUCUCAAUUUUGUCUUAUUCGGAAUCCUCGGAAAAUUUCACGUAAGUUUUAACCUGGGUGCUGAAUAGUGGUUCGCAAAACGGCCUCAAUUUUAAACUGUCAAAGUGGAACCAAUUUACUAUUCGCCAAAAGCAGAGAGUAUUGUUAUCGAUCAUUAAAAUUUGUUUUUUUUUGCAAGAAUGAAAGAUGUGUGGUUUUUGAGGACCUGGAGUUGAUCGUAAUUUUUUAUAGUUUUAUAAUUUAUUAUAAAACAACUUGAUGGAGUCGAUGCGGUUGUAUCCAUCCAGAAGCUGUCUUUAUUGUUUGAUUCCGUUUGAAAACCUGCUGGUUUAGUGAAAAUCUUCUCUGUUUGUUGAAUCAGCUUCGCUAGAAUUAGCGAUGUUUUUUUCGCUGGACCAGGAAGAGCUACAGGAUUCCAAAACCAGCCAGGGAAUUUAUCUGCGACAUCGCAGAAUGACAAUCUCGCUGCAGUUCUUCGUCACCGGUAAAAAAGAAAAACCUCUUCUAACCGAUCGAAACUUGAAAACACACUCAAUUUUCCAGCUAAAAAUGUCACAAACUAGACAAAAUAAAACAAGUACUACUGAUUAUAAAACAGCUAAUUUACAAUUAAGAAAAAAGUAAUGCUUGUGCUUGAACAGCCUCCUACUUUGUAGAUGUAAACAAUGUGGGAUCUUUCGAAAAUCACGUUACGCAUUCUCUCUAUUCAUCACCCAGGUUUUAACUAUCGGAGUUGUAAAUUUGUUGUUGUUGUUUGUUUUCAAUAUUGCACAACACUUUGCACCAAAUUCUCCACCCUUGCAAAUAAUAUCUGCACACCAAAUAUUUGCACACUUGAAAUCCUACCCCUUCUCCCCCCCUCUCGCCUAGAGUGGUGUGUGUCUCGACUGAGCUUCGUUGCUUUCGAACACUUUAGAACAAAUUCAAACUAGGGUAUGUGUCUUGGAAAGUUUUUUUCUGCUGUAGUUUGAGGUGUGCACUAGCGUGGUUCACGUUUCUAUGAAAAAGACAAAAGUUGUUAUUUUGUCUUGCAUCAACCGGAAUUUCGUUCUUUUAUGUCCCCAGAAGCACUCCUGAAAAUUUGAGCCCAUUUGGUAAGGUCUAGGAGCUCCAGUUUUAAUUUGAAAUUUAUAUGGGAUUUUGAUUUAUUUUCCAUGGGAAACUAUCUUUUUUUACAUUGUAUUAGGAUUUUUUUUUAUAAAUCGAUGAAAUGACUUGAUUCUUAUAGUAGGAGAUAGGUUUUGAACUGGGGAACAACUUUGUAGAACAUACCAACAUGCUAGGAAGUGACCCUUUAAAGAUACAGAUACUUUUAGAUGGUGGCUUUUGAAGGGGCUUUACUGUGUGGGGUGAAACGGGCUAGCUGGCGUAAGUUCAAGAUAUCUUUGGUUUUUAAUCGAUGGUGCUUUGACUUUUUCUAGUCAUAUAUACAAAGUUAUUUUUAGAACAUUUAUUUAUAGACAAGCAUGGGCUACGGUUUUGGCCAGCAGUGUUUUGUGAGUUUUCAACGAUAGCAAAAUCUUUUCCUUGGACAAUCUGGCCACCGGUGUUGUUCCAGGUUAUCAAAUGGAUGAUGAGACAGUUCGGACAUCGGCACUGUUCCGGGUUGGCGGUUUGCUGUUUGUCAAAUAUGUUUUACAAGAAUUGGUGGACAGUUUCGACACCGGCAUUGUUCCGGGUUGGCGGUUGGCGGGUUAUCAAAGACUGUUUAAGAACGAACACGUGUGGAACAUCGUUCGAUUGCGUCUCGGACUCUUAAGCAGCACGUGAACGACGCAACGAUGACUUCCCAGAAGACGACCGCUCACUCCGGAUCGAUAUCACAGCUCUUUGAGCCGGACCGACCAUUAGCGCUCUGUAGAGGUGGACCAGGUGAAGAGCACAAGGCCAUACAGAAAAAAUCAGCACGUCGCAAAUCCCGACAACAUCCAACGAGUACUUCGGGAAGGUCAAAGCGGAGAACAACGAGAACCUCGCCCUGUAUGAAGCGCCGAGAACGACGAUUCUGAACACCGCCAGCUGGAUCGGACGCACGAAGUAGGUGAAGGUAUUUAGGAACAAGCUGGCAGACAAUAAUUAAGACCCUGUCUCAGGUGAGCAAGAGCGUUCAGACGCACACGGAGACACACCGGCUAUGCACCCUAGGACGACUCCGAUCUAGAUCGGACGCGCGAGAGUGGAGACGGCAGGAGAGACGAAUCGCACGCCAGAAAUCAACCGUAAGCGAGUCAGCAGCAAAUGACGCCUAUCUCUGACCAAGUUUUCCUCAUUCUCAAAAGUUAAAGGUCACCACCGCAAACACGGGUACAAGUGAAGCACGGCCCAUUAUCAAGGUCAAGCAGACAUGGAAACAAGAUGUAUGUUCGCUGAACCACGCGGAGUCUCACCGAUACCAAUAAAUUGCCCAACUCAGACAACAAGAGCGGUACUCGAAGCACACGGAUAACUACAGGAGUAACUGAAGCUAGAAAAAACGCCCCAUGGACCGAACGGGGUUUGGUGUUCCUGUCCCUGAGCGCGAGGACGGAUCAAUCGUGCACAGGUUGAGCUGAUUGGCUGGUGGAUUCGACUAGAGCGCUUCAUUCGCUCCAAGCAUCUGGUAGAGCAGGGCCAUGCGCGCUGAUGGAGUGCUCGAAAAUCGGGCGCAUCACGUGGACGCAGAGCGGAGUGCGUGCCAACACCGUACGCGCAACAAUAUCCUACGCGUCGGGCGGACGCAAAGCUUCGUGCUCGGCAACACCGUACAUCAGAGACAUGCGAGGUUGAAGUAGGAGUUUUGAAUCUAUUUUCAACCUUAUCAACAGCUGUUAAAAUGAGUUAUUGCGUUGAUUGUUUUAAUUAUUUGUUAUAAAAAACUGAAAUACACAAACAAUCGAAACAGUGUUGUUUACUUUAGAUUCUGUCCCGAAAUGCAAUUCCCAAUCUGAAACUAACCCCUGAUUAAAUCGACUCCCAAACUAUAUCCUUCAAUCCCGACCAAUUUCGUAAGCGUGACCAGCCCCUCCCCGUCCUCCCAUCUUUUCAAACUUCUUAACUGAUCGACAGACAACUGUGUCGAUCCCCUAACAAGAACAGUCUUUGAUAACCCGCCAACCGCCAACCCGGAACAAUGCCGGUGUCGAAACUGUCCACCAAUUCUUGUAAAACAUAUUUGACAAACAGCAAACCGCCAACCCGGAACAGUGCCGGUGUCCGAACUGUCUCAUCAUCCAUUUGAUAACCUGGAACAACACCGGUGGCCAGAUUGUCCAAGGAAAAGAUUUUGCUAUCGUUGAAAACUCACAAAACACUGCUGGCCAAAACCGUAGCCCAUGCUUGUCUAUAAAUAAAUGUUCUAAAAAUAACUUUGUAAAUAUGACUAGAAAAAGUCAAAGCACCAUCGAUUAAAAACCAAAGAUAUCUUGAACUUACGCCAGCUAGCCCGUUUCACCCCACACAGUAAAGCCCCUUCAAAAGCCACCAUCUAAAAGUAUCUGUAUCUUUAAAGGGUCACUUCCUAGCAUGUUGGUAUGUUCUACAAAGUUGUUCCCCAGUUCAAAACCUAUCUCCUACUAUAAGAAUCAAGUCAUUUCAUCGAUUUAUAAAAAAAAAAUCCUAAUACAAUGUAAAAAAAGAUAGUUUCCCAUGGAAAAUAAAUCAAAAUCCCAUAUAAAUUUCAAAUUAAAACUGGAGCUCCUAGACCUUACCAAAUGGGCUCAAAUUUUCAGGAGUGCUUCUGGGGACAUAAAAGAACGAAAUUCCGGUUGAUGCAAGACAAAAUAACAACUUUUGUCUUUUUCAUAGAAACGUGAACCACGCUAGUGUG